rnacentral:rRNA from 1 species
GACGAACGCUGGCGGCGUGCCUAAUACAUGCAAGUUGAGCGAUGAAGAUUGGUGCUUGCGCCAAUUUGAAGAGCAGCGAACGGGUGAGUAACGCGUGGGGCAUCUGCCUUUGAGCGGGGGACAACAUUUGGAAACGAAUGCUAAUACCGCAUAACAACUUUAAACAUAAGUUUUAAGUUUGAAAGAUGCAAUUGCAUCACUCAAAGAUGAUCCCGCGUUGUAUUAGCUAGUUGGUGAGGUAAAGGCUCACCAAGGCGAUGAUACAUAGCCGACCUGAGAGGGUGAUCGGCCACAUUGGGACCGAGACACGGCCCAAACUCCUACGGGAGGCAGCAGGAGGGAAUCUUCGGCAAUGGACGAAAGUCUGACCGAGCAACGCCGCGGGAGUGAAGGAGGUUUUCGGAUCGUAAAACUCUGUUGGUAGAGAAGAACGUUGGUGAGAGUGGAAAGCUCAUCAAGUGACGGUAACUACCCAGAAAGGGACGGCUAACUACGUG